GAGCCCAAAAUGACACGAUCCAAGCUGAAAGAAGUAGUAGAGAAAGGUGUGGUAAUUCCAACCUGGAACAUUUCUCCCAUCAAGAAAGCCAAUGAACUCAAGCCACCUCAGUUCGUGGAUAUCCCUCUUGAAGACGACGAUUCGUCCGAUGAGGAGUACCAGCCGGAAGAGGACGAAGAAGACGAAACGGCGGAGGAGGUAAUCCUUUGCAAGCGGGGAAA